rnacentral:pre_miRNA from 1 species
UAGACAGAUUUUUGUAUUCGACUGUAUUCACGACAUGAAAUAGGGGAUUACAACUGUUUUUAAACAAAAAGUGAAUCAAUUAACAUAAUAGACUCCU